AGCGCGUGAGUGCUCGGCUGCAGGUGUCUCCUGUGUUGUUAGCGCCAGUUAGCUCCCUGGAAGCUAACGCCAGGUGUGUGUGCUCCUCACCUGAAGGGACGUAGUCUACGUCUUCAUUAGAAGAGUAUCCGUCAGAGUCGUAGUCAGAAUAGUUCAUCAUUGUGGAGGAAAACUCUCGGAGUUACGGUAAAUCCACUUCCAGCUUCACACACACGGAAACAAACACCGACUAGCCGGAAAGAAGGAAGCUCAAAGCACGACGGCAAGCUGGAAGACUCAAACCGCCCUUCGCCUUCUGCGCUUCCUUUGUUCGACGAUGAAGCGAUACUGAGAUGGAUUACCGCCACCUACAGGACGGGAGUGGAAGUUCUGUUUUUAUUUUAUACUCCAGUGUUAGCGAUGACUGACAGAGUCUUUGGACUUUUAAUGACUCAAAUGACUUAACCCUUCAAUGGGCAGACAUGUUCACAUCAUUUAUGGAUGUUUUCUAAUAUUUUAAGGCUCAAAUAAACAUUAUGCAGCCAUUUAUAUCCAGUAAGUGGGACACAGCCAUUAGUUUCUGACACUGAUAGAUCUGUUAUUCCAUAUCCGAGUGCUUUGUGGAGUGAAGCUGUGAAGAAGUUUCCAGUAUAGAAGGACAUACUGGUGAAAGAGGGACCAUUUAAUUGGGAGCCUUUGAAAAGUCAAAUAACAUUUCAGUAAAACCUCUUAAAGAUUUGAAAA